CACCGAGUCCGCGGCUCCGGCCAUCACCGGAGCCUGGUGCAAAAGGGA
rnacentral:sRNA from 1 species